GUGCUCAUUUUAGUAUCACAAAUAUUAAAACCGGAAUGAUACAGAGAAGAUGAGCAUGACACAAGCAAAAGGAUGAGAUAUAAAUAAAGUCAGAUCUAAACAAUCAUG